rnacentral:rRNA from 1 species
UAGUCCACGCCGUAAACGAUGUCUACUAGCCGUUGGGGUACUUGAGACCUUAGUGGCGCAGCUAACGCACUAAGUAGACCGCCUGGGGAGUACGGCCGCAAGGUUAAAACUCAAAUGAAUUGACGGGGGCCCGCACAAGCGGUGGAGCAUGUGGUUUAAUUCGAUGCAACGCGAAGAACCUUACCAGGUCUUGACAUCCAGAGAACUUUCCAGAGAUGGAUUGGUGCCUUCGGGAGCUCUGUGACAGGUGCUGCAUGGCUGUCGUCAGCUCGUGUCGUGAGAUGUUGGGUUAAGUCCCGUAACGAGCGCAACCCUUGUCCUUAGUUGCCAGCGCGUAAUGGCGGGAACUCUAAGGAGACUGCCGGUGGCAAGCCGGAGGAAGGCGGGGAUGACGUCAAGUCCUCAUGGCCCUUAUGGGCUGGGCUACACACGUGCUACAAUGGCGACUACAGUGGGCAGCGAACUCGCGAGGGUGAGCUAAUCUCUAAAAGUCGUCUCAGUUC